AUGAAGACAGUCAUUCAGGCUUUGUUCACAUUCUUGUACUUCCAGCUGCACCUGGGCCGCGGAGAGCAGGUGGAGCAGCGCCCUUCCACCUUGAGAGUCCAGGAAGGAGACACCUCCGUGAUCAACUGUACUUAUUCAGACAGUGCUUCAUCCUACUUCCCUUGGUAUAAGCAGGAACCUGGAAAGGGUCCCCAGUUAAUUAUUGACAUUCGUUCAAACAAGCAGAAAGAGCAAAAGCAAAGACUCGUUGUUUCACUCAACAAGGCAGCCAAGCACUUCUCCCUGCACAUCACAGCCACCCAACCUGGAGACUCAGCUGUGUACUUCUGCGCGGCUGUGCACAUUGCUUCCUAG